GUGCGCAAAAGGAUAUAAACAGGUAUAACUCGCUUUUUAUUAUUUGAUUAGAUCUGGUCCCAUGCAAAGAUAAGUUUAAACAACUACAUUUUGAUAUUUUAUCAAUAUGGCAUAGCACUUUUGUCACUUCAAACAAGUUCUGUUGUGAAUAUAAAUGGUAUAUUUCAAGUAUCAAAACAACAAAGCAACUGUAUCCACUAGUAGGUACAUAAUAAAGGGGCUUUAUCCGUUUUAAAGGAUUACCUUUUGUAAUGAUUCCAGUUAUCAUAACAAAUAUGAACAAGUUAGAACCAAUAAAGCAUGCUUUAAGCUUUUCUCGAUCACUAUCCGGAUUCAGCAUUAACCAGAAAUAGAUCAUUCUCUGAUUUUAACCAAACAAAUCCCAAACCUGCAAAUUAGCGAGCAUUCAAAAGAUGGUAAGUAGUUGCAACUUAAGAAAUGACAAAUUUUCAAGGGAAGAUAUAUCCGUGCAGCAGUAGCGAGAACCCCUCUAUCAAGCUGUAACCACUUAAUUUUUAGCACUUAAAAGUACUUGAGAGGCAACCAUCCCUUCUUGGUUAAUGGUCAAGAAUCAAAUUAAAAUUAAUAAUUCAACAUCAAUUAAAGUAUUUUGCUGCAAUAACUUUUGAGUAUAGAGCAAGCAAACAUUCACAUCAACGCUAGCUUAUAAUCAGAUCCAAUCUUCCGAAAAUCACUUCUCAAAAUUAAUAAGGUCUGCGCUCAUGGGAGGGCAUUGAAGGGGCACUGAAGCUCCAAAUAUCUCUUUAGGUUUCAAUGUGAAAGUUCCUUGCAGGCCUAACAGUGCUGCAGUACAAAGUAUCAAAACCAGUACCAGGGAAGCUACAAGCUGCCUGAUAAAUGAUAACUGAAUUGAAGCUAAUCAAGGUGAAGCACGCUUCAACAAAAGCUCUGAUGUUUUGAUCCCUUUUCUUUGAGCAUCAGAGGAAGAGCACGGGAGACUGAGGUCUGCACAAAUAAGGACAGGCUUAUAGUAAUCUGCUAUGGAUGACUAAUACUUUUCUUUAAGCACCAACGAGAACUAAAUGAAUAACAAAGCACCUGCAAAGAGUACAAAAGAAUCAUCAACUUUUGAGUCAAUCUAUCCAUCAUGACAUUUUUAUAUUUCAAAAGAAACUAAAAUGAGACGCUCAAUUGCUUAUCUUCCUUUUUGAGGCAAAGUUCGGUUUAGUCAACUGGGUUUUUUGGCAUAUUUAAUACAUUUUGUAGGUAAUUUGCUUCAUUCUUUUCAAGAGUAAAGAUGAAGAUGACUUACAUGCUAAAUCUUAGUCAUAAAAUUGUUCACCAGAAAUCCCCACAGGAACAAACUCCAUCUUUAAAAUGAUGAAAGCGAUUUGUGUCUCUGACAUAUAUUUCUCUUCCUUCAAAGCCAGAUAUAAAUUUUAUAACGGCAUGACAAUCACCACAGAUUCUGAGAUUUUUUAUUAUCUGCAGUGGAGAGCCCGGAGGAGUAUUCAGAAGCCCUAAGGCUACUGCUAACUUCUCACUAUGUCCACAUAAGAUCUGCUCCUUGUCCUGCUCGUCCACAUCUUGCAACACCAAGUUAGUAUUUGGCAGGUAACCUGCUUUCUUCAUCUCCAAGCUCAAUUUAUGUAACUUCUCAAUGAUCUCAGUCAUUUGUGGAUUUGAUUUAUCUCCAGCAAGAAGCAUGUGCACUUGGUUCUUGAUCUCAAUCCAACUGCAGCCGGGGUUCUUCUUCAUGCCCCUACUCCUCAUGACAUCUCUCACAGCAUCUACUUCGUCCCACAUCGCCUUGGACGCAUAUAUAUUGGAAAGAAGGAUGUAAUUUCCAGGAUUAUUUGGUUCUAAUUCAAAGAGAUUCCUUGCAGCAAUCUUGCCUAAACGAAUGUUAUUGUGAAGCCUACAAGAACUAAGCAAAGCUCCCCAAACACAGGCAUGUGGUUCAAAUGGCAUUUGCUUGAUCAUGGUAUAUGCUUCUUCUAGCUUUCCAGAACGACCUAGAAGGUUUACCAUGCAGGAAUAGUGCUCCAUUUUUGCUUCAAUUCCAUAGUCUUCAUACAUGCUAUUAAAAAAUCGCCAACCUUGUUCUGUUAGGCCACCCUGACUGCAAGCAGAUAAUACACAACUAAAGCUGAUAAAAUCAGGCUUGUGCCCUUUCUGUUGCAUCAAAUGAAAAAUAUCAAUAGCUUCAUUAGCCUUACCAUGCAUUGCAUAACCACCCAUAAUCGCAUUCCAACAGACUGAGUUUUUGUUUGGUAUCCUAUCAAAACAAAGUCGAGACAAAUGGAUUCUUCCACACUUAGCGUACAUAUCAACUAAUGCACUACCAACAUGAACAUCAGCAAUGAUUCCUGUUCUAAGGGCAAAACCAUGAGCUGCUUUUCCAUGUACCAAUGCUGCAAUAUUUCCACAAGCUGGUAGCAAGCAAGGUAUUGUUACAGAGUUUGGCUUCACCCCUGCACUCUGCAUCUCUCUGAAAAGCUCCAAUGCCUCAAUAUCCUUCCCAUUUUGUGAGCAUCCAGCAAUCAUUGAUGUCCAGGAUACAACAUUCAGUUCCCUCCCACGCACUCUAAAUCGCUCAAAUACCUCCAUAGCUACAUCAAGAAGACCAUUUCGAGACAGUGCAGUUAAUAAAGCAUUGCGAGCACCUACAUCCAUAAGCUCCUCAUUCGUCUCUUCAAAUGCUUUCAUCAAAUCUCCUGCAC
rnacentral:lncRNA from 1 species